rnacentral:lncRNA from 1 species
UGCUGCUGGCGGCUGGAGCUUUGGAAUGCGUCCGUGGCCAUGGGCGGCCCUGGAGUCGGAAUCGCACCUCUGCUUCCAACCUGCUUUCCUGCUCCUGCGAUCUCACGGUAUGGUAUCGAUCUGCUUUGCUGACUGUUGUAUUUGUUCUGACUGAAAUUACUCAUGACCUGCUUCCGUGGCUUAACCGCAUUAGAAUGUGCUCUUCCAAUUGAAUCGAGUUCCAAGUGAAUCAGAUACUGCUCUUCCCUUGCAGUUAGGACUCCUGCGGCCAGAGUAGCUGACCCUGAUCAUUUGAAUCGUGAUGGCUCAUGGGUCACAGUUGAUUCAUUUGGCUGAAAUUAGAUUUUGACUUACCUGAUCCUACUUUUUGAAUGGCAAUAAACAGUGGCUGGCCAAAUGCCAGGCCUCAGCGCGCCCCCACCGACAGAUCAGAUUAGUAGCUAGGAUUCAUGGUUCGGCAGGCAGGCAGUCUCUUGCUGCUGUUUGCUCUGGUCUGUGCUUCAUGUUAGGGUGUACGAGGAACUGGCUACUGCUUGUUCGCUGAAAACCGAUUGGGUAGCUCCUAGUCUACAUUUGUGUACAUUUGUUCAGUGGAGUAAAUCUCAGUUGUUUACCUUGAAAAUCUCUUGGUGCUCCUAGUCUACAUUUGUGUGUUCUUCCUUCUGCCCCCCAAUUUCUUGUUCUGUGUGAUAAACUAAGCAGUUA